rnacentral:lncRNA from 1 species
GCUUGUGCCAGUUUCAUAAUAAAAACUAUUCAAAUCUAACAUGCUCUAGUUAGAAGGUGUCUGAUAAGAAGAUUAGAAGAAUGAGCAAUUAUUUAACAAGAACAAUUACAUGUUGGUCUUUCAUAAUCAUAUGCUGCCUUACAGCUGUCCAACUUUCUGCACACGUAACUGUUUUCGAGGAAUUUUCCCUUAAAGAAGAUGUAUUUCAAAGGUCUGUAGAAAAAGCAAAAAUAUAUUUAAAGGUUUAUACAGAAACAAGCAUACAUACAGUCAGUGAUAAAUUUCUAAGUGUGGCAUUGGAUACAAACAUACUUUCAUCGCCCAAAGCAUGGAGGAAGUUUAAUACAAGCUCCAUUUUGCUCCAGACACUUGCAAAAUCCAUAUCACCAGCUUAUUUGAGAUUUGGUGGGACAAGUGCUGACUAUCUUUUUUUUAACAAGACAAUGGAUGAUAGAAGUUUAAUAAAAAACCUGAAUGUUUACCAUGGAGAUUGGUAUCAGACCCCUAUAAUUUCAAACAUCACUUUAACAGGUAA